rnacentral:rRNA from 1 species
UACGUAGGGUGCGAGCGUUAAUCGGAAUUACUGGGCGUAAAGCGUGCGCAGGCGGUUCGUUGUGUCGGUGGUGAAAUCCCCGGGCUUAACCUGGGAAUUGCCAUGGAAACUGGCGAACUGGAGUGCGGCAGAGGGGGGUGGAAUUCCGCGUGUAGCAGUGAAAUGCGUAGAGAUGCGGAGGAACACCGAUGGCGAAGGCAGCCCCCUGGGCUAGCACUGACGCUCAGGCACGAAAGCGUGGGGAGCAAACAGG